UUUGCCUUUCAAACUCUGUCCUGCCCAUUUUUCUUUGACAUGUUCAGAUGUUGGCAAGGCUGAAAACUGCAGGGGAUCUGGUUGUGAUAAUCCAGACGGAGUCUCCCUUUGUUGCCAACCCUGGAGUGAAGUGGUGGGAUCUGGGCUCACCGCAACCUCCGCCUCCUGGGUUCAAGCGAUUCUCCUGCCUUAGCCUCCCAAGUAGGUGAGAUUACAGGCAUG
rnacentral:lncRNA from 1 species